rnacentral:lncRNA from 1 species
GAAAUGUAAAGACCAACGUGGCCCUGCAGGAGUUUAUAAUCCAGGUGCUGGAGGAAAGUAAGGCAGGUACUCAAGUUAGUAUAAUCCAAGGCAGAAUAUGAUUAGUGAAAUGUGAUAUAGUAAUGAUACCUGACAUUGUGUGUGUGUGUGUGUGUGUGUGUGUGUGUGUGUGGGUGGGUGGGUGGGUGUGUGUAUAGUAACUUACACAGUAUUUUUUCAUGUAUUUUUUUUUUGGCUCCAUAAUGAUCUUUCGGUUAAGAUAGAAAUAAUCAGUCUCAUUUUACAAAUGUAGACAUUGACACACUUGUCUAAGGUGAAGCCCCUAUGAAAGGAUGGAGUAUAGAUUUAAAUCCAAGUCAUCAGUCUCCUGAGUCCAGUGUGUUCUUGGUUAUAUCAUUCUGCCUUCCUCGGUGGUGUUUUCUCCUGUGCUUUUCACGGUAGCCCUGCGUCUCAGCCAGUAUUUCCAUUUUAACAGCAUGACUCUCUUUGGUCUUACUGUAGUAUUUGUACAGUUAACUUGAAUUUUAAAAAUUUGGAGCCAGGCAUGGUGGUUCACACCUGUAAUCCUAGUACUCUGGGAGGCCGAGGCGAGCGGAUUGCUUGAUCUCAGGAGUUCGAGACCAGACUGGGGAACAUGACGAAACCCCAUCUCUACCCAAAAUACAAAAAUUAGCUGGGCAUGGUGGCGUGCUCCUGUACUCCCAGCUACUUGCAGGCCUGAGGCAGGAGGACCACUUGAACCUGGGAGGUUGAGAAGGCUGCAGUGAGCUGAGACUGUGCCACUGCACUCCAGCCUAAGUGACAAAGAGACCGUGUCUCAAAAAAAAAAAAUUGUUGGUUUCCUAAGGUUUCCGUUGGUGGAUCGCAUGUAUUACUGUUAUGGAAAACAUUCCAUUUCAACGGCUUUCCCUCCCCAUGUGCUACAUACUAAAUCAGUGCUACGGUUUACUUCCCCUUGGAGAAAAUGAAGAUAGCAGAGAAGGAAAGGAAAGUAAAAGUCAUAUAAAAGUGGGUCUGGAGUAAACAACAGACGAACUGAGCUAUUUUUGAAAGAACAUGACCACCUUCAAAAGUAGCUAUUAUUGAAUGUACAUGCAUGAUGUGGUUUUCCGUGUUUAUUGAUUCAUUGACUUAUAUAACAAACAUUUUAUGAUGUUUAUUAUAGUAAGUGCUUUAUCCAUGCUAAUUCAUUCUAUUCUCCU